rnacentral:lncRNA from 1 species
UUGGUUUACAAUACUUUUCAAAGGAGGAAAAUCAUCGAGCAGCCGCUGCCUUUUUCACAUUUGAUCAAAAUCUGAUCGAUCUGACUUCACAGAUCGCUGGUGCAGAGAGCCUUUGAAGUAAAGCGGGUCGAUCGUCAUCAUACCUCUUCUGCAAUUACGAGUGAGUGUUUAUCUUCUAUCAACUCCAUUUCUAUCGAGUUUUCUUUCGAUCUGUUUAAACGAGUUUUAUUAUUUUCAAUUCGUUUAUUAGACUAAUUCAAUUGCUGAUUCUUUUUUGCAUGAUCCUUAUCUGUUAGGGUUUUAAUGUCAACUACUUAUGUCUUGUUAUUGCUAGUAAUCCCCCAAUAGUUCAUAAAUUAAGUUGCUGAAUCGAAUUUGAUCUGUGUAACCAAAGACUCAAUAGAUGCUUGAUAACAGCAUAGUUCGUAAUCCAAAAUUGAAAAGAGAAAGUAUUGCUAAAUCUACUAUGAUCGAGGCAAAAUUAUAGCGUAAUCAGGGCCUUAAUAUAACAGAUCCAAUCAGAGGAUUUGUGAUCCUCUUAACAGUACCUAAAUGGUCACAUAGGUUGGUGAAUGAAGUAGAAUACUAACAUGCUUGACAGAAUUGUAUGGUGUUUAGAUUUUCGCAGAUGGGUUGUUGUGGACCUUGUGGUGUUUAGGUUUCUGCUAAUUAAGUGCCUCGAGG